rnacentral:lncRNA from 1 species
CUCUGGAACAUUCUCUACAACAACAGUGAUUAAAUUAAGAUAACAGAUUUGUACCAGCAAGGCUACCUCAGGCCAGGCUGUCUGAAAGUCAGUGAAGCCAUUAUCAAAACCAAGAGUUCAUGCGUCAACAUCACAUCACAGUCCCCCUCACUCCUCUAAUCUCCUCAAACCCUGACCUAGAUGAUGAAUGCGAAAGCUCAUGCACUGGGUUUAGUGCCCGAUGUUAGUGUGAGCCGCCAGGGACACAUAAAUAUGUUGACUGAUAUCUUCCUCCUUGAUGAAAACCAGGCGGGAGGAUGGAAGAAGCUGAGUAGAGAAAUGUUUGUCCUCCUUUAAUCAUGUGGUGGUUUGGCCCGUGCCCUGCUCUGACCAUCAGGAGUACUUCCUCUGUCUCCAACCUGCAGCCAGGAAGUCCUCCAACAAAACUCACUUGUUGAAGGAUGAGCUACUUAAAGUACACAGGAGAUGGAGUCUUUUGAAGAGGAGCCAGAAACAAAGCCCAUGAGAGACAGAGAGUGGUGCUUGACCUGCCUUAACCAGCAUUAACACAUCAUCUUAUAAUACCGGCACUUGAGCAUUUAAUAGUAGAAAUAUUGUCAAAAGAGGGAAAAAACUAAAUAAAUUCGUCUGUGACUUUGAAACGAUAAUCCAGGAUUCUCUCAAGAGUGGAUUUUCCAUCAAGGAAUAACCAAUCUCCUGGGAUCAGACGCUGUCCUCCCGUAACUACAUGGAGAA